rnacentral:rRNA from 1 species
UACGUAGGGCGCAAGCGUUAUCCGGGAUUAUUGGGCGUAAAGAGCUCGUAGGCGGUUUGUCGCGUCUGCCGUGAAAGUCCGGGGCUCAACUCCGGAUCUGCGGUGGGUACGGGCAGACUAGAGUGAUGUAGGGGAGACUGGAAUUCCUGGUGUAGCGGUGGAAUGCGUAGAGAUCCGGAAGAACACCGGUGGCGAAGGCGGUUAGCUGGGCAGUUGCUGACACUGAGGCGCGACAGCGUGGGGAGCAAACAGG